rnacentral:rRNA from 1 species
GGAAACCGUCUAGAGGCAAACGGAGAGGACCGUAUGGUCCGCCCGUCGGAUUCAGUCCGCAGGCGCGGCGUCGGCGCCGGUCGCGCAUCCCUCGUGGGAGCGCGCCGGCGUCCGGAUCGUCGUGCGGCGGCCGUACUUUCGGCGGGCGGAGCGCCACGACCGGUCUGCGGGCGGCGAGAAACUCUCGGGCAAGGUGACCUUCGCCUCGGCGCAGGAGCAUACAGGCCCGGCGAGCGCAGGCCCGUCCGCGGACCGAGGAAGACCGUCGCGGAGCGGCGUCGACCGCCCGUCGUGGGCGUGCGUUCGACUCGGGGGGACUGGUUCCAGUGCCCUCGGACCGCGUGCGUCCAUCGGCGGGACGGCCCGGCGUCGCGCCUGGGGUCGGUGGCGAAACGGCCGGCAACCUGUCCGACCCGUCUUGAAACACGGACCAAGGAGUCUAACAUGUGCGCGAGUCGUUGGGCGUUACGAAACCCGAAGGCGCAAUGAAAGUGAAGGCCCGGUCUCCGGCCGGCCUGGGUGGGAUCCGGACGGUCGCGGCCGUCCGGCGCACCACCGGCCCGUCUCGUUCGCCUUGUCGAGGAGGCGGAGCAAGAGCGUACACGUUGGGACCCGAAAGAUGGUGAACUAUGCCCGAGUAGGACGAAGCCAGAGGAAACUCUGGUGGAGGUCCGCAGCGAUUCUGACGUGCAAAUCGAUCGUCAAACUUGGGUAUAGGGGCGAAAGACUAAUCGAACCAUCUAGUAGCUGGUUCCUGUCGAAGUUUCCCUCAGGAUAGCUGGCGCUCGUCACGAGCAGUUUUAUCCGGUAAAGCGAAUGACUG